rnacentral:tRNA from 1 species
UACGCGAUAAUACAUGGAGCGCUUGGUAGCUCGUCGGGCUCAUAACCCGAAGGUCGUCGGUUCAAAUCCGGCCCCCGCAACCA